GGGAUGGCUGUGGCUCAGCGGUUCCUUCUAUAUCAAGCAUUGCUGAAUAAUCCACUUGAAGGAUAAAUUCCCAGAGGCGCUAUCUAACCUUUUU